GACGAACGCUGGCGGCGUGCUUAACACAUGCAAGUCGAGCGGUAAGGCCCUUUCGGGGGUACACGAGCGGCGAACGGGUGAGUAACACGUGGGUGACCUGCCCUCAGCUCUGGGAUAAGCCUGGGAAACCGGGUCUAAUACUGGAUAUGACUCCAUGACGCAUGUUGUGGGGUGGAAAGCCUUGUGCGGCUGAGGAUGGGCCCGCGGCCUAUCAGCUUGUUGGUGGGGNGAUGGCCUACCAAGGCGACGACGGGUAGCCGGCCUGAGAGGGCGACCGGCCACACUGGGACUGAGACACGGCCCAGACUCCUACGGGAGGCAGCAGUGGGGAAUCUUGCGCAAUGGGCGAAAGCCUGACGCAGCGACGCCGCGUGAGGAUGACGGCCU
rnacentral:rRNA from 1 species